CUGGGUUCAAGUGAUUCUCCUGCCUCAGCCUCCUGAGUAGCUGGGAUUAUAGGCACCUGCCCUCAUGCCUGGCUAAUUUUUGUAUUUUUAGUAAUGAUGGGGUUUCACCGUGUUGGCAAGACUGAUCUUGAAAUCUCCCGACCUCAGGUGAUCUGCCUGCUUAUUGUUCUUCAUCAUCUCUUGUCUAGGAUGAAAUCCCAACAUGUCUCCUUGUCACCUAUGUCUGUCCCUUCAACUCAGGACCCACACUACAACUAAAUGAUCUUUUCAAAAAGCAAAACUGAUCAUACCAACCACUGCCUCUCAGCAGCAUUUAUGGAAUAUGUGUUGAGGACAGUUGUGUUGAAGGAUGUAGCAAAGUCCUGGCCUGCAAGGACACUCAGAACCCAUUGCAGGGAAGAUCAGGCUAUGAGCGAGCAAUGAUGAUGCCGCACGAUUCAUACUGUAAUAGAGUGUGCUGUGAGAAGGUGAAGUUGGAGCAGCAAACUCUGGAGGCUGGGAAAUUUUUUUUAGGGAAGAAAAUAUUGCUGCACAGUCUUGAUGAAUAGAUCUUUUCCUUGAAUAAAACAGUAUGCAUUCUAUGAAGAAGAAAUGGCAUGCAUAAGGCUGAAGUCCAGAUCUCUUGGGAGAAGAUGUGGCUGCCAGAGGAACAUGCAGUGCUGGAAAACUUGCCAGAAGGCACAAGGCUGGAGGUGGUCUGAGAGGGUUUCUGAGGUGAGUGUCCCUGGCUUUCCACAUGCUGAUUUACUGGCUGUCAUAUCCAAAGAAAAGCCACACUGAAAUAGGAAGUGGGGGCUCUCCUGCUGUUAUGGCCUUGCAGUAUCCUUCCAGGACUCUCUGUUGACAGAACCUAACACUGAGCCAGAUAGCAAAGGAGAAAUGUUUAUGGGGUCUGGCUUCAGUAUCUCAGAGCAAGAAGGGUGGAUUUGGGGGCUCAGAGAACUGGCACAAAGGUCCACUUACACCUCCAACUCAACCUGCUAAAAAUGAACUCAUUUUCCUGUGGUUCUUCUCUUACUGAAUGGUAUCACCAUCUCCCUAGCUGCACAAACUGGAGAUCUGGUAGACAUCCUAGAUACUUCACUUUUACUCACACACAUUUGGUCAAUCAACAGCAAAGCCCCGCUACCAAGAGUGUGCAGAGCCAUGACUGAGGCUUGUCAUUCCAGCUGCCUGUGGAGUUACUAAGAGUUGACUUGAUUCCACACAAACAGCAUCUCCCAAGGGCAGUCCCUCUAGGUCCAGGACCCUUGCCUCUGUGGUGGAAAUUGAGCCAUUACUUAUGAUUUUCUCCUUUUGCUCUGCAGUUUGGAGCCUUGGGGAAAUCCCUCAUGUGUUUUCUUCCUUGGAACUUUUUAGAAUUGGCCAAUCAGACCUGAUGAUCAGAGAUGCGUAGUUUUUUUUUCUCUUUGCCGCUUUCAUUUUGUGUAACCCAGACAAAAAGUAUGUGAAUGCAACAACACAGGGAUAUAGUCACUAUUACAGAUGCCUAUUUAUGUCUUACUUAUAGCCUAA
rnacentral:lncRNA from 13 species